GAUAUUAGUCAAUGGCCUAAAGGCUGAACCAGUAACUUGGAAGAAUGUAAAUGUAUUAAUUAUUAAUACAAUAACGAUUAAUUCGUAUAAAAUUCUAAAUAGAAUAAUGAUAAUGACAAUUUUCUAUUUAUAAGUCUUGACCAAAUUACGUGCCAGCAGUCGCGGUAAUACGUAAAAGACUAGUGUUAGUCAUCUUUAUUAGGUUUAAAGGGUACCUAGACGGUAAAUUAAACUCUUAUUGAGUAUCUUUUUACUAGAGUUUUAUAAGAGAAGGAAGAAUUUUUGGAGUAGUGAUAAAAUACUUUUAUACCAAAAAGACUGAUAACGGCGAAGGCAUCCUUCUAUGUAAAAACUGACGUUGAGGGACGAAGGCUUGGGUAGCAAUAAGGAUUAGAUACCCUAGUAGUCCAAGCAGAAAAUGAUGAAUGUCAUAAACUAGAUAAUUAAUUUAGUAUAUAAAUGAAAGUGUAAGCAUUCCACCUCAAGAGUAAUAUGGCAACAUAUAAACUGAAAUCAUUAGACCGUUUCUGAAACCAGUAGUGAAGUAUGUUAUUUAAUUCGA
rnacentral:rRNA from 1 species